rnacentral:rRNA from 1 species
AUUGAACGCUGGCGGCAGGCCUAAUACAUGCAAGUCGAGCGAGCGGCGGACGGGUGAGUAAUGCCUGGGAAACUGCCCGAUGGAGGGGGAUAACUACUGGAAACGGUAGCUAAUACCGCAUACUAUUAGAUGUUCCCAGAUGGGAUUAGCUAGUUGGUGGGGUAACGGCUAACCUAGGCGACGAUCCCUAGCUGGCCUGAGAGGAUGACCAGCCACACUGGAACUGAGCCACGGUCAAGACUCCUACGGAAGGCAGCAGUGGGAAAUAUUGCACAAUGGGCGCAAGCCUGAUGCCGCAAUGCCGCGUGUGUGAAGAAGGCCUUCGGGUUGUAAAGCACUUUCAGCGGGGAGGCGUUACCCAAAGAAGAAGCACCGGCUAACUCCGUGCCAGCAGCCGCGGUAAUUC